UAUUAGUUUAAGUGUAUAUAGCAAUCUAAGAAGUGAUGAAUUGAAUUAUCUACAAAAUUUUUCCUAAAUUGAAUUUUAAUUAAAUUGAACGCAAAAUUAAAAUUAAUAAAAUUUUUAAUGAAAAUGUGAUGCAAUAAACACUAACUAAUGGAUUUGAAAUAAAUAUAAAUAAUAGUGAAACUUAAAGGAGUAGAGAUAGAAAAAUCAAACAUAAAAAUUUAUAAAAGUUUGGUUUUUCUCCGAAAGUA
rnacentral:lncRNA from 1 species